AUUGAACGCUGGCGGCAGGCCUAACACAUGCAAGUCGAGCGGAUGAAGGGAGCUUGCUCCUGGAUUCAGCGGCGGACGGGUGAGUAAUGCCUAGGAAUCUGCCUGGUAGUGGGGGAUAACGUCCGGAAACGGGCGCUAAUACCGCAUACGUCCUGAGGGAGAAAGUGGGGGAUCUUCGGACCUCACGCUAUCAGAUGAGCCUAGGUCGGAUUAGCUAGUUGGUGGGGUAAAGGCCUACCAAGGCGACGAUCCGUAACUGGUCUGAGAGGAUGAUCAGUCACACUGGAACUGAGACACGGUCCAGGCUCCUACGGGAGGCAGCAGUGGGGAAUAUUGGACAAUGGGCGAAAGCCUGAUCCAGCCAUGCCGCGUGUGUGAAGAAGGUCUUCGGAUUGUAAAGCACUUUAAGUUGGGAGGAAGGGCAGUAAGUUAAUACCUUGCCGUUUUGACGUUACCAACAGAAUAAGCACCGGCUAACUUCGUG
rnacentral:rRNA from 1 species